UAUGGGCUACACUGAUGAUGGUAACAUUAAAGCGGCAAGAGACAGACACGAGGAGAAGAGUAAACAGCGAGACUACAUUACAGUACAAAACGAGAAAGACAUAUGUCAAUCAAUAAAAACAUAUGAACGGGAUGGUUAGCAAUGUGUGUGCAAAAAUUAUUUGUUUUAUAAAAUGUGGGUGCAAAAGAAAAUCAUCCUACAAGUGAAUUUUUGAUGUGCAAAAGAAAAUUAUUUUGGCGACAUAUCGAUAUUCUGACUAUGGUACUCCAAAGGGGUGCUAAGUGAAUGCAAUACAAGUUUUUGUUACCCUUCAAAAUUUGUGAAUUUUUUAUUGCUUUUGCGGUAGUUUGAUUGUUGGGAAUCUAGACGGGCAUGUAUGUAUAAAUUUUUAUAAGGUUUCAAUUAUAUUCGGCCCAAAUUAACGUGCCACUAUAAUGUGCUAAUUAUAAUAUCCAUUAUUUUUAAGUUAAUUUCGUCUUAUUCAUAAUGAUUGAUAAAAAUAUAUAUGCAGGGAAAUGAAAAAUAUUCAUGGUUCAGAUUUCAUAUUUGGCCUUCUUAAACAAUGUCGUUGAUGGAAUUUUCAUUUUCUAUUCAAGAGUUUUUAUUCUUUGA